UGUACUUCUUAAAAGCUGUGUAACAAUAACACUAUUUUUAUUUUCAGACUCUCAAGAGCCUUGUGAGAAUGGGUUGGAUUCAACUAAUGUUCAAGCAACUCCUGUAGCAGAUCAGGGACAGGAGAAGACUAGAGUGUCUAAGACAUCCAUCAAUGACUACGACCUGCAGAGUGUACUGGGUAAAGGAAGCUUUGGAAAAGUAUAUCUUGCACAACACAAACCUUCUGGAAAAGACGUUGCCAUCAAGACAAUAAAAAGGGAUUUGAUAACAACCAUUUUUGACA